GAUGAACGCUGGCGGCGUGCCUAAUACAUGCAAGUCGAGCGAACGGACGAGAAGCUUGCUCUUCUGAUGUUAGCGGCGGACGGGUGAGUAACACGUGGAUAACCUACCUAUAAGACUGGGAUAACUUCGGGAAACCGGAGCUAAUACCGGAUAAUAUUUUGAACCGCAUGGUUCAAUAGUGAAAGACGGUUUUGCUGUCACUUAUAGAUGGAUCCGCGCUGCAUUAGCUAGUUGGUAAGGUAACGGCUUACCAAGGCAACGAUGCGUAGCCGACCUGAGAGGGUGAUCGGCCACACUGGAACUGAGACACGGUCCAGACUCCUACGGGAGGCAGCAGUAGGGAAUCUUCCGCAAUGGGCGAAAGCCUGACGGAGCAACGCCGCGUGAGUGAUGAAGGUCUUCGGAUCGUAAAACUCUGUUAUUAGGGAAGAACAAAUGUGUAAGUAACUGUGCACAUCUUGACGGUACCUAAUCAGAAAGCCACGGCUAACUACGUG
rnacentral:rRNA from 1 species